UUACCAUUAGUUUUCACCAUAUAAAUGAAAUAUGUUAUGAUCUCCUUUUCAUUAACUGGCAGAGACUUGAAGUGCUUUUGUAUUACCUGUGAACAAUGAUUUUUAUUUUAAUCAAUAGUAAAGGUUUGUAUAACUUAUGUCACGGAUCAGAACCAAUUUAAGUGUAUGUAAUUUAUUUAUGUAAGAUUGAAUUUACCAUGUCUGUAUGUAACAUGGUCAUUUGUUAUUGA